CAAUAGCGUAUAUUAAAGUUGUUGCAGUUAAAAGCUCGUAGUUGGAUUUCUGGUUUGAUGCCCUGGCCCGCUGCCAUUUUGGUAGUGUGUGCCGGUUGUGCGUCUGCCAUCCUUCUAGGGAACGUUCCUUCUCUUCACUGAGCCGGGUUCGUGAUCUAGAUCGUUUACUUUGAAAAAUUAGAGUGUUUAAAGCAGGCUUUUGCUAUGAAUACAUUAGCAUGGAAUAAUAAUCUAGGUACGUUCGGUGCUUAUUUUGUUUGGUUUCGUUGGAACGUAGAAGUAAUGAUUGGGUAGGGAGUAGGUUGGGGGUGGCUAGUAUUGAGCGG
rnacentral:rRNA from 1 species